AGCAAUAUGAAGGUCAGGCUGAAGACCUUACCCGAUUAGCUGAGAGGUGGUGCAUGGCCGUCGUCAGUUCGUACUGUGAAGCAUCCUGUUAAGUCAGGCAACGAGCGAGACCCACGUCCACAGUUGCCAGCAUACCCUCCGGGGUGAUGGGUACACUGUGGAGACCGCCGCUGCUAAAGCGGAGGAAGGAGUGGGCAACGGUAGGUCAGUAUGCCCCGAAUCUCCCGGGCUACACGCGGGCUACAAUGGUUGGUACAAUGGGCAUCUACCCCGAAAGGGGAAGGAAAUCUCUUAAAGCCAAUCGUAGUUCGGAUUGAGGGCUGCAACUCGCCCUCAUGGAGCUGGAAUCCGUAGUAAUCGCGUUUCAACAGAACGCGGUGAAUACGUCCCUGCUCCUU
rnacentral:rRNA from 1 species